AAAAAGGAAUAGAUGUUAUGGAUUUGAUAAAAACAGUUUUCUUGGGGGCUGGGGUGAUAUCACAGGGUAUACCAUAAAAACUGUGGGGAAAUAAUAGUUGAAGUAACAAAAAAGGUUAAGAUCCCCUAAGGAAGGAUCGUGUUUGGAGGGACUGUGCUGGCAGAAUAGGAAAUCACAGUAUCAUUUAUAUUGGAAAAGACCUCUCAGAUCAUCCAGUCCAACCACCAGCAUAUCCCCACCAUGCCCACUAACCAUGUCCAUCAGUGCCACAUUUCCAUGUUCCUUGAACAUCUCCAGGGAUGGCAAGUCCUGGGAGCCCAAAUGUGUCAAGGCUUCAGCUGGAAGAGGAAUAGGCUGGAGAGGGACACCAGCAAGUUCAAAGAAAAAAAGUGAAUGCAGAAUUGUUCUUUAAAUUCCACACUAUAAGAACAAAGGAGCAGGCACUGAACUUGACACAAGGACAGUUUAAAAUAUUUCACAGAGCUCAGUGAAAUUCCAGAAGUUCAAAGCCAUGGGAAGCUGAUAAGGUGGAGCACUGGUGGAUUCAAACAGGGAUGAGCAAAACUCUGGGACAAGAGGUUCAAAUCCAGAUACUGAAUGGCCUUGGCAGGGAUGUAUGGUUGAUACCCCUCAUCCAGCAAGCGAUGGGGUGAACUGCAAGUAGCAGUUGGGUUCACAUAUUCUGCCUCAAAUGAUGCAGACUCCUGGUGGAAAAAUACCAGUAGCCUGACCUGGGAGGGCAUUUCUCACACCCCAGUGUGCAGGUUGUUUGAACAAAGGAGCAGAAAGGAGGACACUGAAAUCCCACCUGAUGAGUUGUCCUCCAGGAGGACAAGGAGAUGAAAGUGGCAGGGAACACAAUGUAGUCAUUAGUCCACAGCUGAAGAAGUGUGAGGCAAAUGAAACACAUGAAAGGGCAAAUGAAAGCCCAGAAGUGAUGACACAAGAAUUUUUACCAGAACCUGAUGGAGCAAGAGACCUAUGUGAAGUGAUAUGGGUUUGGAAUAACAUUCCCAAUUACAGAGUCCACACUUGCUACCAGGGUCCUGCUUAUGUCAUUCUGGAGCUACACAUAACAAAGACUCUGUGGUAUAAAAAGGCUUUGUGCCAAUAACUUUAUUUUGAGGCUCAAAGAGCAGUAGUUCACCAAUGCUCUCAGCAGCCACCAAGUCAACAGGUAAGUACUGAGUCAGCCAUAAAAAAAGGGAGCAGCUUAAUCUCAGAACAUAUCAGAAGAUAAAAUCGGAGCAGCCAAAAAUUACUGUCAACAGAAAGGAUUAGGAGAAGACUCUGCUCACCUCCUGCAGUACAAUGAGCUCCUGUAGGAGGAACCUGAGUUGGAGAAUUGCUACCAAUGGACACCAGAGCUGCUCCUGGGGAACUGCAGUGUGCUGCCAGGAAAGAUCAAAAAGUUGCCCUGAAGAUGUCAGCUGAGACAAUGCAGGGCCCAUGUGGACAGAGGUCUACAUUUUGAUCCCAUGCAUUGAGUGAAAAAAGGAAUCAGUAAUCACCACAAACUCAGUUUGCCUGCAGACACUGCAGUAGGAGGCUGGCACAACACCUGGGCACCAGUUAAUUCCCAUGCAUAGUUUUGCAACUAAAGAUGAUGCUCUAAGAAACUGAGAAAUAGAAAUAAUAAAGAAAAGGAUCAGCAGAAGAGAGCAGUGCGAAAACAGGGCUGUAUGAUAAAGGAUGACCGGACAGUUGAAAGGAAGGUUUGAAAAAAAAGGAAGAAGAAGAUAUAAAAAGAAGUGCACUUUGUAAGGGUGAGGGUACAUGAACUCAAAUAUCAUGGAAAUGAUUGUAUAUGAAAAAAGGGUUUGGAAAACACAAAGUCUUCCUUUGCCCAAAUAAACUUUGUGAGAAAAUGUACCCAAGGAGGAGGAUUCGUGAGAUGCAACCAGAAUAAUGCGGAGCCAGUUCCUACAAUUGCGAAUGAACUUACUGUGUGUUCCCAAAAGUAGACAGCAAUGGUCUGCAUGAGAAGCUAUCCACACUACCUAUGGCAACUGAGCUUUACACAAUUCUGGUCUUUCUGCUUUCAUUUUAUACAAUUAAACCUAUUAAACUUGUAAACAAGAUGAUCAUAUAUUGUUCUGGAAAUCUCUCAACACUGCCUUAAUUAGGCAACUUCCAAAUUAUCACUGUCUUUUAUGCCAUAUUGCCCACAAACCAUGAUUAUGGUCAUAUCUAGUCCUUCUUGUAGGCUUUAAUUAACAGUGGUGAUCGCUUGUGCCUUUUAAUUAUGACUGUGCAAGUUUCUGAACCUUUGAUAUGACCACCUGAAGAAGGUUCUACAACUACGUGCUUUGGCAAAUGAGCCAAAUGCUCCAGAUAAGAUGAAUAUUUCUUAAUUAAGCAAUUUCUUAAGCUUUCCUCACACAGAAACAGUGCCAUCACAUGGGUGGCAGCUGGGGUAACCAGCAUCAGGGAAAGUCAGAAAUGCUGCAGCAAGGAUCAUAGAAGAGAGAACCUGGAAGCACUGGGACAGACUGACAUCACUUGGCUUUGUAGGCUUCCCAAGAGCUGGUUUGGACAGACUGGGCUGCUUAAACAUUGUCAAGCAAAAACUCUGUUACUACAAGAACAGGACAGAAAGUCCAGCAGGACACAUCAGACCUAAGAAACCCAACAAAAAUCAGGACUGUGGACAAGGCCACUCAUACUGGGUAUCUACUGAAAUGCACUGCACCAGCACAGCCAGGUGCCGGGGACAAGACAAAGGUCCUUUUGCUGACUUUCUACAAGCAUAGAAUCAUAGUAUAUCCCAAGUUGGAAGGGACCCACAAAGAUCAUUGAGUCCAACCCACAACUCCACACAAGAGCACCCAACACUCAAGCCCAGUGUCUGAGAGCGCAGACCAAACACUCCCUGAGCUCCGGCACUCGGGGCCGUGCCCACUGCCCUGGGCAGGCUGUUCCAUGCCCACCGCCCUCUGGUGCAGACCCUUUCCCUCACCCCCAGCUGCCCCUCCCCUGAUGCAGCUCCAUGCCGUUCCCUCUCACUGUCAGAGAGCAGAGCUCAGCACUCGCUGUGAGGAGAUGUAUGCCACCAUUCUUCAUAAAACAGACAAGUCAAUGCAGGACAUGCUUCUGGUCCGUAGAACUGCAGAGUAGAGGUACUUCAUGCUGCUCCAUGAACUCCUGUACAAUACAGCUCACACACAGGCACUGCCCUCUCAGUUAAACUGCUUCGUUAUGCAGUUCUCUAUUUCCACUGCCCUGUACAUUUGAAAUGGCACAAUCAAAUGUUUCCAUUGCUCUAUGGGUUUGAAAUGACACUGCUGAGUGGUAUCGGAAAAUCUCUCCGUGGUCUCCGGGUGCUGUGGGAUGCACAAAGCUUGGUGCUCCUUCGUCUGCCUGCUUUGUAUGAUACCAGGAAUUCCAACAGCUUGUCUCUGCACAUUAACAUUUUCUAUAUUAUUACUGAGAAC
ensembl:lncRNA